CCAUUAGGUUAUUUUUUUGAAAAAAGUUUGAUUCUUGCUUUGAAAUUUGAAUUAUUAAUUAUUUAAUAUGUAAGAUUUUUCUUUGUUUUAUCUAAAAGGUUUUUGUUUCAGUAUUUAAUUUUGGUUAUUUUUUGUAAGAAAAAACUAGGAUUUAAUUUUUUAAUUGACAAAAGUUGUGCCAGCCGUCGCGGUUAUACAAUUAAUUAAAUUAAAUUUUUUUAAGUUUAUAUUAAUUUGUUUUUUAAUAAUUGAAAUUGUUAUUUUUAAGGUGAAAUUUUAAUUUUAUAUUUAAUUAUUGGUUUGAGAUUAUAUAUGAAAAUUAUACAUAAACUAGGAUUAGAUACCCUAUUAUUAUAAUCGUUAAUUUUUCUUUAAUAUUAAUAGUUAUGUUCUUUAAAUUAAAAGAAUUUGGCGGUAAUUUAAUCUUUCUAGAGGAACCUGUUCUGUAAUUGAUAAUCCACGAUUGAUUUAAUUUUAAUUAAGCUUAUAUAUCGUUGUCAUUGAAUGUUUUAUGAGAAUUUAUUUUCUUUAAUUUUUAUGAGUAUAAUGUCAGAUCAAGAUGUAGCAAUAUUAAAAUAGAAAUGGGUUACAUUAAAUUUAUUUUUGGAUUAAUAUUUGUAAUUUAUUAUUAUGAAAUUGGAUUUAGGUGUAAUUUUUAUUAAAUAAUAAUUUUGAUUUUAGUUCUAAAUUAUGUACACAUCGCCCGUCACUCCCAUUAUAAGUUGGGAUAAGUCGUAACAAAGUAGGCCUACUGGAAAGUGGGCCUGGAAAGUUC
rnacentral:ncRNA from 1 species